GACGAACUGUGCAAACGUUAUUCGGAAUCACUGGGCUUGAAGAGUGCGUAGGCGGUUUCGUAAGUAGGGUGUGAAAGCCCCCGGCUCAACCGGGGAACUGCGUCCUAAAAUGCGGGGCUGGAGUGAGGUAGGGGUGUGUGGAACUUCCAGUGGAGCGGUGAAAUGUGUUGAUAUUGGAAGGAACGCCGGUGGCGAAAGCGACACACUGGGCCUUGUCUGACGCUGAGGCACGAAAGCCAGGGGAGCAAACGGG
rnacentral:rRNA from 1 species